rnacentral:misc_RNA from 1 species
GGUUAACAAGAACCAAUUUUAACUGUGAAAGAGAACUUGUCAAAUCCAAACAGACAUUGCUUCUGGAGUCUUGCACCAACUCCCUUCUGCUCUUAACUAAUUACUAUUUCAUUAAAACAUAAAAGUACAAUAACAGCAUUAAUUCCCAAGAACAAACAACUCAUUUUCUUUCAUCCUCUACAGAAGAAGGCUUCAACAACUUUUUCGUUGAAACAUUUCCAAA